rnacentral:rRNA from 1 species
AUUGAACGCUGGCGGCAGGCCUAACACGUGCAAGUCGAGCGGAUGAAGGGAGCUUGCUCCUGGAUUCAGCGGCGGACGGGUGAGUAAUGCCUAGGAAUCUGCCUGGUAGUGGGGGAUAACGUCCGGAAACGGGCGCUAAUACCGCAUACGUCCUGAGGGAGAAAGUGGGGGAUCUUCGGACCUCACGCUAUCAGAUGAGCCUAGGUCGGAUUAGCUAGUUGGUGGGGUAAAGGCCUACCAAGGCGACGAUCCGUAACUGGUCUGAGAGGAUGAUCAGUCACACUGGAACUGAGACACGGUCCAGACUCCUACGGGAGGCAGCAGUGGGGAAUAUUGGACAAUGGGCGAAAGCCUGAUCCAGCCAUGCCGCGUGUGUGAAGAAGGUCUUCGGAUUGUAGAGCACUUUAAGUUGGGAGGAAGGGCAGUAAGUUAAUACCUUGCUGUUUUGACGUUACCAACAGAAUAAGCACCGGCUAACUUCGUG